rnacentral:ncRNA from 2 species
AUGAAGCAACACGCGUUUUUCUUCGCUUUCUUUUUUACCUUCCCCUGAACGGGAGGCGUGUCGUCGUACAGAAAGCAAGCGAAGACGAACUAACAGGCCUCCCACUCCGGGGGGCCUUUUUUAU